GACGAACGCUGGCGGCGUGCCUAAUACAUGCAAGUUGAGCGCUGAAGGUUGGUACUUGUACCAACUGGAUGAGCAGCGAACGGGUGAGUAACGCGUGGGGAAUCUGCCUUUGAGCGGGGGACAACAUUUGGAAACGAAUGCUAAUACCGCAUAAAAACUUUAAACACAAGUUUUAAGUUUGAAAGAUGCAAUUGCAUCACUCAAAGAUGAUCCCGCGUUGUAUUAGCUAGUUGGUGAGGUAAAGGCUCACCAAGGCGAUGAUACAUAGCCGACCUGAGAGGGUGAGCGGCCACAUUGGGACUGAGACACGGCCCAAACUCCGACGGGAGGCAGCAGUAGGGAAUCUUCGGCAAUGGACGAAAGUCUGACCGAGCAACGCCGCGUGAGUGAAGAAGGUUUUCGGAUCGUAAAACUCUGUUGGUAGAGAAGAACGGUGGUGAGAGUGGAAAGCUCAUCAAGUGACGGUAACUACCCAGAAAGGGACGGCUAACUACGUG
rnacentral:rRNA from 1 species